rnacentral:lncRNA from 1 species
AGAAAUAUACAUCCAGUAACAUUAUACUUUCAUGAAAAAUGGAAAAAUACAAAAACAUCAAGAGAGAAAAAAACUCAACCACUAAAGCCAUUACCUCUCCAUGGUACGAUAUAAACCAAACCAAAACCAGAAGCCAACCAAACCGGAAAUCAAAGAUCAGCAAAACCAAACACUUUCCAGUUUCCACAGCUAACGUUAUUCACUGUACAAAUCUAACAAAGCUUUACUCAGCCUUCACAAAACCAUCACUCUUUUGAAGUAGAAUCCGUCUGAGACACCCCACUACCCUGACGAUCUGAGUAAGGUCUAACAAACGAUCUCCUCCACCAAACCUCAAAAGUUCUCUGCAGAUUCGGACAACCAUCUCCACCAUUCAAGAAACUCCCAAGCCAAGACAUCAAAAUCCUCUGCUGAUCUUCCAACGGCAACGUCAGUAUCGUCCUCCCUAUCCCUUCCUCCACAAGCUUCCCAUCGAACGAUCUGCAACCGUGCUGCAGCCAGUUAUAGUCCUUGAACAAAGGCUGCAGCCACGUGGUCAACAGCAAAAGCCUAGUGUCUUUCGAAGGCAGCAGCUCUCCUCUCCCAAUCCCUACGAAGAGCCUAGACGUCACACGGCUUAUAUGGUAACGAGACACCAAAGGAACCUUCUCGUGUAACAAAGCUAGCUCCUUUUGGUUAGCCCACGUGACUGAAAACUCCUCUGCCGCUUGUCUUUCUGCUAACACAUCAAGCAGCCACGUGAGGUUAUCAGCUUCCACACCUAUCUGUUUAGCAUCACUCUCGUCCUGUCUGAACAGAGACAAGACCGUGUCUAAACAGCUCUGGCAAGAGGAGUAGAUCGUCUCGUUGAAAUUCUCAGCUACAUUGUUCCCGUUCUGUUCCCUGAGAAGCUUCAGGACUAUAGACUUCAUCUCGCGAUGAUGCGUGAGAGCGUCUCUUUAGGCGGAUCCACAGAAGAGGAAGCAACUCUUUUGAGGACAGGAGUAGUCACAACACUAACACCUUCUGUCUUCAACCUAAGUAUCGACGAGAUCACUUUCUCCUCUUCCUCUUCACCAACCCAAGGCACAGGUCAGCUUCUAAAUAAUCCAAACAAGACUGAACACAAGAACCGAAGCCAAGAAGCUCCGCAACCUUAAGAACACGGAGGACUCUGGUCACGCUCUGUCUCAUAAGCCUUUGAUUCAUGUCUUUACAAUACAUAAGCCCAAAACUAAAUUACUAGAGAAUGUUAUAUUAUAUACCUAGAUAGUAUGAUCAUUAUAGACCAUUCAUUUAUCAAAUUAAAUAAUUAUAUAUUUUUUCCUUCAAUAAAACCUACCUAAUGUGAUUAAGAUAUAUAUUGUAAUUAAUGAUUUUACAUAAUAAAGAUCUGCUAACAAUUUGUAUACUUUCUAUCAUUUUUGUUUAAUUAUUUUUUGUUAAAAUAAAUCAGACAAUUACAUUAACUAUAUAAUAAAUUUUAGAUUUUUUUGUACAUGUUGUAUUUUGAAUUUUUAAAACGAGUAUAAAUUACUAAAACUGUUAAAAUUUUUACAUAAACUUUUGUGAUCAAGGUUUAAAUUUUUUUCUAUAAUAAGAUACAAUGAUUAUAAAAUCAAAUGAAUAAAUAAAUUUAUGUUAAUAGGUAUUUAUGUUAAUAUAUAUAUAUAUAUAUAUAUAUAUAUAUAUAUAUAUAUAUAUUUCGUUUAAAUUAAACUAUACAUCAUAUGAAAAUACAUACUUAUAUUUUGAUAUUUGCGUUGAAUACAUCUUGAAAAGAUAAUAUUUUAAUUUUGAAAUCUUCAUUGUCUUUUUAAAAUAAUUAUAAAUUACUGAAACCACUAAACAUUCCACAUAAAAAAAUCGUUGGUGUAAAAUUUUGUUACACAAAAUGCAAAUAAUCAUAAAUCAUUUGAGUAGAAACCUCAUUUAAUAAAUAUUCAUACUAUAUAUCUAUGUUAGUAUCAUUUAAAUUUAAUUAUAUACCAUACACGAUAGAUAAAAUUGAUUGGUUUAAUUUAUUUAUCGUAAAAUGAUUGCGAAUAAACAAGAGCGGUCGUUGAUUUAUAUGUGUACGCCAAUUUAUUACAUAAUAGUAGUUAUUUAAUAUAUAAUUAUUAUUUAAAAUUUCAUAAUAUGCGAAAAAUAUAAAAUAAGUAAUAAAUAUAAAAUAUUUAUUCUGCACAAUGCGCAAAUCUUAAACAUUUUCUAAAUCUCAGGCCAAAACAAAAUAACGAAAUGAGAAUAAACUCAAAAAUCAAUAUUUAUAUUGAGCAAUAACCAAAAUAAAAAAAACGAUGCAAAAAUGAGAAAAAUAUUGAAGAUAGAUAGGCAGUGAACGCAAAGUUCUCAUAACAAUAAUUAAAUUUUAAAUUUUUAAAUCAUGAUUUAAAAUUGAGCUGCCAUAGUUUUAUUAUAACCAAAUAGUAGGCCUGUAAUUCUUCGGCCUAAUCGUUAGAUUCUUAUGCGAAAGGUGAUUUUUUUACCUAAAAUAUUUUGAAAAAUGGGAUAAGCUCAUCAGUAAAUAAAUUAUGUAAUUAACAAAAAGUUUUUAAAAACUUGCUUAAGGAUAAAAAAUAUUAAUUCGAUCAAAGAAUAUAAACUUUAUUUUUCCAUACGAUAUUUCUUAAAUAAUUUUCAUAUAAAUUCACUACGCGCAAGGCGCAUGUCCUAGUAUAACAUAAGGAACAAGACUUAGGUUCACCCCUAGAGUGAACCUUUAAAUUCAUCUCUCUUCUUAUUAACAAUUAAAAUGCUACCUAGAUUAAUAAUAAAAUAGAUUAAUUUUAUUUAAAAAAAUCUGAAAAAAAAAUAAGAACGUCAAUUUUAAUGAUGCUAACGCCAGUAACUAAACCCUAAACUUUAAAUUUAUUCCCUAAAUCCUAAAUCCUAAACCCAAAUCCUAAAUUCUAAACCCAAACCGUAAACCCUAAACCCAAACCCUAUAUCCUAACCCAAAUCUUAAACCCUAAAUCGAAACCGUAAACUCUAAACCCAAACCCUAUAUCCUAAACCCAAAUUAUAGACUAUAAACUCAAACCAUAUAUCUAAACCUAAUCCCUACACCCUAAACUCAAGUCGUAAACCUUGAACCUAAAUCCUAUAUAUAUUCUAAAGGUUUGGGUUAACGUUGAUGUUGUUUCUUUAGGGUUUAAGAUUUAGGUUUAGAGUAUAGGUUUGGGUUUAGGAUCUAGGGUUUUAGUUUAAGGUCUAGGGUUUGGGUUUAGAGUUUACGGUUUGAGUUUAGGGUUUAGAAUUUGGGUUUAAGAUAUAGAGUUUGGGUUUAAGGUUUAGAGUUUGGGUUUAAAAUUUAGGGUUUAGGGUUUAGAUUUAAAAUUUAGAACUUAGAUUUAAAGAUUUAGAGUUUAGUUAGUGGCGUUAGUAUCAUUAAAAUGAGCGUCACUAUUUUUUUCAAUUAUUUUAGAUUUUUUUUUUAAAAAAUAAUAUAUUUUAUUAUUAAUCUAUGUGGCAUUUUGAUUGGUAAUAAUAGAGAAGGUGAAUUUAAGAGUGAACCUAAGUUUUGUUCUAACAUAAAUCUCAAAAAGUAACUAAAAGAAAGUAAGGUUAACAAAAUCACGUAUUUUACGUAUAGAGCAAGUAAAAUAAACUUAACACUUUUUUUUUGUUUUCGACACUUUCCAAAUAACAAAGAUGCAUGCAUGGUUUAAUAGACCAAAUCAAAGAGAAAGAAACAAAUCACAUGAAAGGAAAAAAUACGUAUAUAUAUAAACUAGUUGAAUCUACGUUUUCUCCAGCGAAUCCGACUGGUGUCUUGCUUCGAAAACCCUGGAAGCCUAACAAAGCUAGGAACGUAGCUGCAUAAAAAAGGAAAACCACAUUCCCCUUCAUCUGCUUUAAUUACUUGGAAUUCCUUGUCGCUGAUGACUCUGAUAAUAGAUAGUCCCUUCAUGCCAGUAUCACUACAAGUUAUAACAAGCCUAUUGUUUUUGUCGAAAUAAUAAUUUGUAGAAAGGAGGGUAGGACGUGGAUAUAUAAGCGGAAAUUCUGGUAUGUCCACGACCACCAAUUUGGUCCAAGAAGUAAGCAUAAGCCAAUGCUUCACCCAUAUGCAUAUCUUCCUUGUUUUGCGACAUUGCUCCAACACCGAAAGCCUAUCUCCUUUAUAAAUCUCUAGUGCAAUAGGAUUCAACUCAUCAUAGCUGAAUGGCAAGUCAUCUAUGGGCUGAAACCUUUCUUUGUAAAAAUCAUAGCUUUGUACAAAAGCUGUAUGAUCUUCUCGAAGACCUAUACAAUAAGGAGUUCCUCUCAGAGAGAGGAUCGACAACGGCACGCUAAGGAACCAAUCAGAACUGAUGUUAUCUAUAACCUUCCAUGUUUUGGAUGCAACUUCACAGACCUCGACCCUUGAAGGUCUAUUUCUGGAAUUAUUAGCACAACGAAACCUUAAGAUCCUGUAAUCACAGUGGCUGAGGUAUCCAAGGCUGUAAGCAUCAUCUCGUUGGUGAAAGUCACUACCGCAUUUGAUCCAGGUUGUUUCCUUCAGUAAUGGGUUCCUAACCACAAGCUGGUUGUCCAUGACACACAAUAACAAACCGUCGCAAUGAACAGUCUUGUACACCCUAACUGGAUUACAUGUUCGAGCUUUUAUAAGGGUAAAGUCUUGGACGAUCAAGGACGGGGGAUCGACCACGUUUUUCUGCUCCUCAAUGCCCACGGCAGAAAUCGUAGGACCAGUGUCUUUGAGUAUAAACCGAUGCUCACCACUAUAGCUGUGCAUGUGAAACGACAAGUUCUUCUUGUUGAGUCUCUCCUCCAAAAUAAGACUAUUCCAAAGCUUACAUACACAUCUCAACGUUGCAAGAUAUUUCCAUGGAACUCUGGCGAGAAUUUCCUCUUCCAAAUCAUAUGGUAGCUUCAGUGCCAUUGUCGUGGAACCUGGUUUGUCAAAAGAGAGGUAAGACGCGAACAAUGUUUUCUAACCGUAAAAUACGUAUGUAUGUACAUAUAGAUGACGAUAAAAAAAAGAAAUUGGAAAACAUAAAUAAUCGGAAACUUGGAUAAAUAAAGUUUCUAUAUUUCAGUGAUAGUUUCCUAUUAUUUAUGGUUACCAUAACAGCCGGCUGCUUCUUUUUUCUUUUUUUUAACUCUUAUUAGUAACACUAGAGAUUUUUUCCGCCCGUAUCUUAUAAAUUUAUUUUAUUUAUAAUAUUAUUUGUCGGUUUUUUUCUUUUACAUUAACUUCUUGUUUUUUCAAUGUUAGUUUUUCUUAAUUUAAAUUUGUAUGUUUAUAAUUUUUCAUUUUUCUUGUUGUAUAUGUAGAAUUAUAUUUUGUAUUGAUGGUUUUUUGUAUGUGACAUAAACUUUUUGAAAUUUUAAAAUAAUGUUAUAUAUAGUACGAUUAACACAUUAAAAAAGAGAAACAUAUUCAAGCACAUUUUACACAGAUUUUAUAUGCAUAAUUUUAAACAUUAUAUAUGUAUAUAUUAUAAGUUUGAAACAUGUAAAUGCUUUCUAAAGCUAAAUACUUGUUCUGAGUUUACAUAACUUAUCAAAAGUUUUAUCUCUUUUUAAAUUCAAAUCACAGAAAAAAUAUAUCAAAAAGUCAGUAUAGAUAGGUUUUUUGGGCUUUUAAAUCAACACUGAAAAAUUACAUGAAUCCGAUAACAACAGUUUUAAAAACAACUGGAUAAAAUUUGACCGAGCCAAAGAUUUUCACACAAUAUGUUAUUUCUUCUUCAAAUUGCGAAGAGCCUAUACGCACAAGAAAAAAAAAUCAUAAUUUUUGUUUUCACUUAUAUAACAUUUCUUCUCCUUUACACACAAAGUUUAUUACACUGCUAUAAGCAAUGGAGAACUCUAUUCAUAUAAGAUUCACAUCUAUGCAUUUUUACAAAGAAGAAUUUUAGCCAUCUUAAGUUUCGGAAUGGACCAACUUCAGUCAUAUACACUAUAUUUCUCUAUGAUUCAAAUCUUACAAUUUUAAUAUAUGUACAGAUUUCUAUGUGAAAAAGCACGCACGCCAUCUAUCAUUCAACCUAUUAUUUUUUCCAAAGUAAACACUAUAAUCCUCGUUUGGUUAGCUCCACAAACUAAUCUCCUUAGAUCAGUUUAUUAAAAAAUAUGGAUACUAAUAUCAGAAAAAAAUAUAAACACUAUCAACAACAAAUAUUGGCACAAGACUAUUCCACGUAAUGCGUUUAUAUCAUGGCUGGCUUUGUAGAGAAGACUGCCAACCAAGAAUCGCUUAAGGCGUUGGGGGUUAAAUGUCUCAGGAACGUGCGUCCUUUGUAAUCUGGAAAUAGAGACUCACCAUCAUCUCUUCUUUGAGUGCUCUUUCUCUCACUUGAUAUGGAAGCCUUUUGCUGCUGAAGUUUGAAUUUCUCCUCCGGCUGAUCUACACUCUAUUGCAGCCUGGAUCAAUCAACCUCGCGUCAACGCAGAUACGCAUGCUACUCCAGUCAGCCAUCUACAUGCUGUGGAAAGAGCGUAAUGCUCGUGUGUUCACAGCUGUCUCCUCACCUUCAUCAGUCAUCCUUGCCUCUCUCGACCGUAUGAUGCGUGACCGUCUCCUCUCUUACCCGGCAAGUUCUUCUUUCUCUUCUUCUCUACUUCUUUUUAUCUUUCUUGUAUAAGACCUCCUUAAUGCUUUUUUUACCUUGUGUUAUUGUUGGUUGUUUUUGUUUCUUUGCUGUAAUAAGUUGUUUAAAAAGAACAGUGUAACCUUUCAGAAAAUAAUAAUCUUAACAUCUUACCAAAAAAAAACAAUAAAUAUUGACUUAUUUAUGUGAAUAUAUAUUUUUAUUUUAAAUCAUUAUAGUGGACGAAGAAAGCACCAUAAUUUAUACAACAAAUUUUCUUAGAUUCACCUCAUCAUACUCACCAUUUUACCAUUUUAAUUACAUAAUUUUACAUGAGCUUCUUCACCUCCCCGGUUAUUUUCUCUUUAUUUAUAACUACAAUAUAAAGUUAUGAACUAUAUAUAUUAUAAAUUAAUAAUUUCUAUACCCUUGAAGUCUAACGAUUAAAAAUAGAACAUAAUUUAAUAUAGAUAUAUGAUUCUAUUAAUAAAUUAGCAGUUACAAAUUUGAAAUUUCUAGAAAUAUCAAAAGUCGUAUGUUAGUUAAUUAUUUUCUAAAUGACAUAUAUUUUUAAUUCUUUUUGGAUGAGAAUAUUUUUGGGCUGCGAGAUUUUUCUUUACCUGGCCCACCGGCAAAUAUUUUUGCAGCCUAUUAUAUAUUUUUCUUUGGUUUUAUAGCGUUCGGACUGGUCCGAGUGGGAUAUUCAGUGAUGUUACGUGAUAUAAAUCAAGGAGCAUGGACUAUAGUUUUUUUCAAGUGACAUGGCAGUUUGAUAGGUGAGGAUUAUUUUGCCCAUGUGGCACCUCUACAAAAGCUAGAAUUUAGCUUCUUUUAUAUAGUAGGAUUCUAUUAGAAAAGACAGAGCUAUAACUCAAAAAACAGAGUUUCAUGAAACAAAAACAGAGCAAAACAGAGAACCACCUAUGCCCAUUUUCGAAAAAAAAAGAAUAAAAAACAGAGAACCAGCAGGUCUCAAAAGAUAAAACCAAGGAGAAGUAAUAGGAAAUCCUAUAUGUCGGCCAAAGAAAGACGCCGGCUGCUUUAGAGAUACUAUAAAGUAUAAUGUAAAUCUCAAAAACUGACAAUGUAUAAUUGGAAUUUGGAAAGACAAAUAAACUAGAAAAAUUGGAUACACCUAAGAGAAAAUUGCCAAAGAAAACAAAAAAAAUCAGGUUGUUGUCCCUUUGGUAUAAAACCAAUUUUAUCCAUUUUUUCUCAUUUUUACUCUUUUUAUUUCUGAAAACUAAUGAAAUAAAUAAUUUUGUGAAUCAAAAAAAUUAUUAAAAAUAAAAACAAUUAAUAAAACAUCUAUAUACACAAGCUGGUAAUUUUUUUUUGUUCAAAAAUUUGGUAAAUAAGAUUUUUAAAAUACGUUCUACUAAAAGUAGAAUGUGUCUUCUACGAAAAAUGGUAUAAUAGAAAACGAUUUAACGAUUUCUAAAAUAAACACGUUCAUCUAUUUUUUUUAGAACGUACAUUUUACUAUUUACUAAAUUUCUAAAAAAGAGAAAUGCGCAUUCUACUAAUCGUAAAGGUAUCCACUUUCCUUCCGAAUGCAUCUUCUACUUUUAUAAAGUAUUCAAAAUUUUGGAAAAUGUAUUUUCUACAAUGUACUCUUAUGUCUACUCAAAGUAGAAAGUGUAUUCAGAAUUUUUAUCAUUCUUCUAAACUUUUAGAAGUCACCUUCUACGGAUAAGAAUACCUGAUUUUUUGCGAAAAUUAAUGAAAUUUCAGUUAAGAAAAUAUUCUAAAGAGAUAUGGCCAGAGUUUAGAUCUUACUAAAUACAUAGCCGUUAAAAAUCACUAAAACAAAAAUUUGGAAUAGAUCUGAACUUGAAACAAAAUCAAUAAUCGAAUGGAUAUCUAAAUUUUUUAUCAUAAACUUUACAUACUUAAAAUAUUAACUAUAUUAAGUUUCAAAAUAAUCAAUAAUUUAAAUAUUAUUUAUAACUAAAAUAUCCAGAAAUCGAAAUACCAUAAUAUUUAAGUUGUUAUAAAAAUAUUUAGUGUUACAUAUAGCUGACAUUAAUUUCUUUUAAGUUACAUUACAAUUGUUUUAAAGGAUAAAAUAAGUAUAUUUUGUAUGUAUUGUGAACGGAGAAUGUAAAAUUAUUGUAUUUAAUUUAAUUUGAUUUUAAAAAAAUGCUAAAAUAAAAAGCUCAACUUAUAAUUUUAAUAUUGGUAUGAAAGUAAAUAUAUAUAAUUGCAUGGUCUAACAAAAAGAGAACAAACAAAAAUAACAGAAAUGAAAUUAGAUAACUUAUACUAAGACAAACAAUUAAUAUAUAUAUAUAUACCGACAAAAUAAAAAUAGAAUAUACCUUCAUUAAUAAUCGCAAUAAUUAUAUUAGAAAAUUUUGUUGACCGUAACAAAACUGUUUUGAGUCUUUCACAACAAACGAGAUAAAAAAAAUUAAUGAUAAAAAUUGCAAAAAAUAAUGUUCCAUGAAUAAUUAAAAUAAAAUCAUUAAAUUAAAAAUAAAUAUUAAAUAGAAAUGUAAUGAGACAAAUUCCAGCGCAAACUUGCUCUAGUAUCUUAAACACAAACUAGUUGAAUCUACGUUUUCUCCAACGAAUCCGACUGGUGUCUUGCUUCCAAAACACUGGAAGCCUAACCAAGCUUGGAACGUAGCUGCAUAAAAAAGGGAAAUAAAUUUCACAUUCAUUAGCUUUAAUUACUUGGAAAUCCUUGUCGUUGAUGACUCUGAUAAUAGAUAGACCCUUCAUGUCAGUAUCAUUACAAGUUAUAACAAGCCUAUUGUUUUUGUCGAAAUAAUAAUUUGUAGAAAGGAGGGUAAGACGUGGAUAUAUAAGCGGAAACUCUGGUAUGUCCACGACCACCAAUUUGGUCCAAGAAGUAAGCAUGAGCCAAUGCUUCACCCAUAUGCAUAUCUUCCUUGUUUUGUGACAUUGCUCCAACACCGAAAGCCUAUCUCCUUUAUAAAUCUCUAGUGCAAUAGGAUUCAACUCAUCAUAGCUGAAUGGCAAGUCAUCUAUGGGCUGAAACCUUUCUUUGUAAAAAUCAUAGCUUUGUACAAAAGCUGUAUGAUCUUCUCGAAGACCUAUACAAUAAGGAGUUCCUCUCAGAGAGAGGAUCGACAACGGCACGCUAAGGAACCAAUCAAAACUGAUGUUAUCUAUAACCUUCCAUGUCUUGGAUGCAACUUCACAGACCUCGACCCUUGAAGGUCUAUUUCUGGAAUUAUUAGCACAACGAAACCUUAAGAUCCUGUAAUCACAGUGGCUGAGGUAUCCAAGGCUGUAAGCAUCAUCUCGUUGGUGAAAGUCACUACCGCAUUUGAUCCAGGUUGUUUCCUUCAGUAACGGGUUCCUAACCACAAGCUGGUUGUCCAUGACACACAACAACAAACCGUCGCAAUGAACAGUCUUGUACACCCUAACUGGAUUACAUGUUCGAGCUUUUAUAAGGGUAAAGUCUUGGACGAUCAAGGACGGAGGAUCGACCACGUUUUUCUGCUCCUCAAUGCCCACGGCAGAAAUCGUAGGACCAGUGUCUUUGAGUAUAAACCGAUGCUCACCACUAUAGCUGUGCAUGUGAAACGACAAGUUCUUCUUGUUGAGUCUCUCCUCCAAAAUAAGACUAUUCCAAAGCUUACAUACACUUCUCAACGUUGCAAGAUAUUUCCAUGGAACUCUGGCGAGAAUUUCCUCUUCCAAAUCAUAUGGUAGCUUCAGUGCCAUUGUCGUGGAACCUGGUUGUCAAAAGAGAGGUAAGAUGCUCACAUGGUUUAUAACCGUAACAUACAUAUGUAUGUACAUAUAGAUGACGAUAAAAAAAAAGAAAUUGGAAAACAUAAAUAAUCGGAAACUUGGAUAAAUAAAGUUUCUAUAUUUCAGUGAUAGUUUCCUAUUAUUUAUGGUUACCAUAACAGCCGGCUGCUUCUUUUUUUUUUUUAACUCUUAUUAGUAACAUUGUAUUAGAAAAGACAGAGCUAUAACUCAAAAAACAGAGUUUCAUGAAACAAAAACAGAGCAAAACAGAGAACCAGCUAUGCCCAUUUUCGAAAAAAAAAGAAUAAAAAACAGAGAACCAAUAGGUCUCAAAAUAUAAAACCAAGGAGAAGUAAUAGGAAAUCCUAUAUGUCGGCCAAAAAAAGAGGCCGGCUGCUUUAGAGAUACUAUAAAGUAUAAUGUAAAUCUCAAAAACUGACAAUGUAUAAUUGGAAUUUGGAAAGACAAAUAAACUAGAAAAAUUGGAUACCCCUUUGAGAAAAUUGCCAAAAGAGAACAAAAAAAUCAGGUUGUUGUCCCUUUGGUAUAAAAUUAAUUUUGUCCAUUUUUUUUCCUUUUUUUUUGAAAGAAUUUUAAAUUUAUUCAAAUAAAAAAAAACCUUUGUACAGAGUUUUAUCUGCUACCAUAUUCAAAUACAUGAAAAGAAAUCCAAAAGAAAAUAUGCUAUCUAUAUCUCUCAAGCUUCACUAGACUCUGUCAAACCAAUCCUCCAUCAUCUUCUCAUAUUUGCCUCCUACCCUCCUUCUCAAUGAAGAUAUUCUGUUUCUAGUAAGCUUAUCAAGCCUUGCGAUCAGACAAGUAGCUGGCUGCGAUGCCUCACCCACUUUUCUCCUUUUUACUCUUUGUAUUUCUGAAAACUAAUGAAAUAAAUAAUUUUGUGAAUCAAAAAAAUUAUUAAAAAUAUAAACAAUCAAUAAAACAUCCAAAUACACAAGCUGGUAAUUUUCUUUUGUUCAAAAACUUGGUAAAUAAGAUUUUUAAAAUACGUUCUACUAAAAGUAGAAUGUGUCUUCUACGAAAAAUGGUAUAGUAGAAAACGAUUUCUAAAAUAAACACGUUCAUCUACUUCUUUUAGAACGCUCAUUUUACUAUUUACUAAAUUUCUAAAAAAGAGAAAUGCACAUUCUACUAAUCGUAAAGGUAUCCCACUUUCCUUCCGAAUGCAUCUUCUACUUUUAUAAAGUAUUCUAAAUUUCGGGAAAUGUGUUUUCUACAAUGUACUCUUAUGUCUACUCAAAGUAGAAAGUGUAUUCAGAAUUUUUAUCAUGCUUCUAAACUUUUAGAAGUCACCUUCUACGGAUAAAAAUACCUGAUUUUUUGCGAAAAGUAAUGAAAUUUCAGUUAAGGAAAUAUUCUAAAAAUCUCCUAGAAAUAUUCUAACUUCCUAAAACGUGUUAUGGUUGAUUUUACUUGAAAAAAUUAAAUAAAAAAACGAUUAUCCCUUCUCUUAUUCAUCAAUCUAUGGUUUUUCCAUAGUUUUUCUUUUGAUUCUUCUCACAAACUCUUGUUCUCUAAGAUGCAUAUCUAUACCUCUUUUUUUUUCGAUUGCCUUUCAACUGUUUUUUUUUCCUUUUCUCCAUUAACUUUUUUUUUUUUAAAAUUCAAAUUAACUUUUAAAUUGUGUUUAAUUAGAUUAAGUAUAGGGUUAGUUUGAUUAUGAGAAAAAUUAUACUAUUGAGAUAACUUUAUGUUGGUAUUAUACCAAGGGGACAACAACCUUAUUUUUUUGUUCUCUUUUAGCAAUUUUCCCCACCUAAUUACUGACAAUUUAUAAAAUUUUAAUUUUUUUUACCCGAGAGUUACUUGCACGUCACAAUAUUUCUUUUUACCAAUUUUAAGUCCCAUUUAUAAUAAAAUCUGAAUAAUUGGUCCUCCAAAUAGAACCCCUUCCCAACUCAUUCCAUCCAAAAUUUGGGCAUCUGUCCAACACACUUAUUUUCUCACAAAUGACGUAUAAUUGUGUUCCAUUGUUUAUGUGGUAGGUAGUUUUGAGUUGGACGUAGGGCUGGCAAUUAAGGUAACAUAUCAAGUUUGGUUUGGAUAUUUCGGAUAUCAGUUUGGAUAUAGGAAAAUGCGUACCAGUCAGAUAAUUUAAAAUUUUUGAUUUGGUUUGAUACUUUUCGGGUUUGGUUCAGUUGUAUCCGAAAAUUACUUGGUUGAGUCCAAAUAUAUAGAAAAUAACUGAUUUAUCUGAAAUGCGCGGAUCAAAGUUGUUUAUUUAUAUUCAAACAUGUAAAAAAUAUCUAAAUAUCCAUAAAUAAUUGGAAAUAUCUGAAUUAUCCACAAACAAAAUAACAUAUCCAAAUUUAUAGUUAUAGUUUAGUAAUUAAAGUACUAUAAGUAGUAAUAUAACUAGUAUUUAUAUAUAUAGUUAUACUUAGAAUAUUUUUGGAAAUUCGUUAUUUUUUUGGGUUCGGUUCGGGUUCGGAUAUGGUUCUACGUAUAUAGAAAUUCAUGUACAGUCCAGACAUCUAUGUUAGAUCGGAUUCUCUUGUGUACUUUAAAUUUGGAAUCGGAUCCAAUUUUGAACUUCGGAUCCAGAAAAUUUGUUCAAGUCUAGUUGAAUGUAUGUGGGUUUUAGGUGUCUUCUUUCCCUAGGUGUUUUGGAUUUCAGAUUUUAUAUUUCCUUAGUAUCUGCUUUUUCUUAAAUAAAAAACUCGGAAACAUUUAUGCUAAAGCUUUUGUUAGUUGUGUUGAGAGACGUACACUUCUUAUUCACAUCUAUUUAUACACAAUAGAUCUUGUUGGUAACCAUAAUCAACUUCACACAUCAAAAUCUAUUGAUCUCUGAGUUAAUUUCCUCUCUCUCAAAGGAGAAAAACUUCUCAAAGUUCCAAUAAGUUUUCUAAAAUGUAUUAUGUAUAGCUCAGCUUUCUUCUAACACCUCUUGUACUACUAACUUCAUAAUUUGUACAAGAUCUACUUCAAAUGUUUUCAAAGUUACUAGAGUCCAUAACUUUGUAUCUGCUGAGUAAGCCAAUGCUAUUCUCCCUUCUUAAGAGAACUCCAGCGCCUAGUUUCUCACUUAAUAUCUCAUAAUUUAAUAAAAAAGGCAAAAAAGAAUGAGAGAAACAUACUCACGGAUUCUCAAAUCAUCGGUCAUAACAUACUCUUGGAACCUCUUUUGAAAACAUGUCACUUGGUAAGUGAAUUUGCUUUUUUUUUUUAAAUAACAAACUAAUAGAACAUAUUAUAAUAAGAAUAUUUUAUGUUUGAGAAAUUCGAUUUGAGAAUCUCACGGCUGAGGUUUCACUAACUCAGUGGAGAAUUCUUGGUCGUCCUAGUAAUUGUACUAUCCAUACGACACCGGAAUGUAAACAUUUCAAAUCGACAAUGGAAUAUCUGUAAUUAAUGCUUCUUUUCACUUGAUCCAGUGUUGUUACGAGCUUCAUUUAGUAUAUGGACUCCAAUGAUGCAUUUCCAACUAGUUAGUCAACCUAUACGUACAUAGGACUCCCUUUGGUUAUUCUCCAUGAAUCAGUUUAGCUCCUAAUGUUAAAACGUGAAGCCCAUAAUCGUGUUUGAUGGUAACUUUAUUACAACAAAAGGUUAUAUAGAUACAGAUGGAGGUUUAUCUCGGUCUCUUUGUUAUCAUCAUUACCAAGGAUUCCUUCUUAAUUCAGGCUUCACUGCUUUAACUUGAUCUCCUAAACCAUUGAGUGUGAGAGUAUUCACUAUUUGUUACUUCUAAAAUAUGAGAAGCAUCUAAAUUAAGUAGCGCACUUGAAAAAUAUGAAGGAAAAAGAAUAAUUAUACUAAAGGCAUGAGACAUUGUGCUUAGUUGCCUAAGCAACAUGAGCUCCACAAGAACCUAAAAAAGAAAACACAAUGAAUUAUAUGCAAAAGAUAAAGAAACAUGGAAGGAGAUGAUAAGGAAUCAAAUCAUAUCAUCAUGUGCAGCAAGCAACAAAAUGAUGAGAGUAGUGUUCUCGAUAGCUUUGGUUACCAUCUUGUCACCAAUAAUAAAACAUUCCUCUUUCUUAGCAAUUCUAAUCAUUCCUUUGGCCAUCGCCAAACCGGCCUUGGAAGUGAUGAAACCCACGAUGAACCUGCUUCAUGAACAUCAAAAUCCAAAAUAAAUAAUUUUGUAGGAAAAAACUAACGUUUCAGUCUUUAGGUGGCUUUGGACCAGUUUACGUAUCUUAAUUGGGAUGUAAAUCUUAAUAAUUUAUGUGCCUGAAUUUGACAUGGAUACUAGUUUUUAAAAAGGGUAAAUCAACCUAAUAACUACAAAAACAAGUAACAUAUGGAAUGUGAAGAGGUGUAGUGCACAAUAUUUGUCAUUUUUAAGGCAAAACAAAUCAAACCAGACAAUCUUAAUACCCAUGAAUCCCUUAUAUUUGAAAUCAAAUGAAGAUAUCCAAGUUGAAGUUGCAUCACAUCAGCUAAUCAAACAAUAAGAGAGACAUUAAACUCAUGAACAAACCCAAAAUUCAUGAGCAAUGUUCAAAACAUUUUCUUUUGAGUAACUUUUAAAGUUUACACUAUAGUCUUUUACUUUGUAUCUUAUUUUAAAAAUAAUCCUUUCACUAAUUUUCAAAAUUUAUAGAAGAAUACGAAAAAAAUUAACAAGGCCAAUUUGUACCCAUUAUAAACAAAUUAAUUGUUGGUGUUAGCAAAACUUAUUGAAGCAUUACGUUCCAAUGUAACUAAAAUAAUCAAUUUAUUCAAGCAUGUGAAAAUAACAUGUUCUUUGCGUGUAGAACAAUGAACAAUUAUUUAACGGGAAAGGGAUUCACUAUGUUGGGCUCAGUGAACGGGAAUCACAUCGAAGUCGAGUAUGAACAGAGAGGGUAGCUUCUUUCUGUUGUAUUUAUGUUCUGAAUUUUGUUGUGUAUAUUGGAUUUUAUAUUAUUCUUACAACAUCUCUUAAAUGAUUUAAUAUAAAAAAAUCCUUGAUUUCACAGUUCUCUUAGCGGAUCAAACUAAAUCUUGGUUUACGUCCUAGGUUAAGUCUAUAUUCAUUACCUCUAAUAACAAAGACAUUAAAUAAGAUAAAUGCUUAAAUGUUUGGUGGUGAAAGUUGUAAAGAAAAGUAAUAAUACUAGUGAUUAGGUCAAAAGAUAGUUAUGUGGCACUCUGCUUGAAUAAGAAUACGUUUUGCAUAAAGAUAUUUAAUCACACCAGCUUCAAUUUUAGAUGUUUUCCUUAUUAAUUUUUUUGAUUUCGGUAUGAUACUUUGAUUCACAAUUUGAUUUUUUUACUGAUAUAAUUUAACCAGUCAAAAAACCUGUAUUAAUAUGAAAUACUAGCUAUCAAAUUUAAACGUUAAAGUAAUCUGAUUCUUGUUUAGAGAAAUGUUUUUUUUUUGUUGUUGUUUGGUGUUACACUUUCCAUCCGAAGAGAUAUGAACUUCAUGUUCAUACUUCGGUGCUUUUGUAAUUUGUUUUGUCAUUUGAUAGAGUAAUUUUAAGUUAUAAAGUAUUACAAACCAAAUUUUUCUUGUGAAACACAAAUCUCUUUCAAUUAUGGUUUACAAAAAAAUUUUAAAGCACAAUUUCAUUUCUUGACUCUACAUACAAAAUACCUAAAUCAUUUGUAUCUUGUUUUUAGAAAAACUAUAAAUGAAUAAUAAAAUAUUAUUAAACAUGCAACCAAAAUCAUACAUCAAAAAAAUUAUUUAUAAAAACAUGUAAAAAUACAACUCAUUCCACUCACAACUCUAGAUUCUAUGAUGAGAUACAUCAAGCUAAUUUUACUUGUCUAAUCCAUCUUCUCGUGAUCUUCGUACUAACAUUUUAAGCCUUCGUAAUGUUCAAGGAUAUCAAGCCUUGACAACUGAAGCCCAUAGUUAGAGGCCCAUCCGUGGUAAAAACCAAACAUUAAAAUUGGUAUAGAAAUCGAAUCAGACAUAUAUAAUUUUUCUGUAAUCAGAAAUAUACAUCCAGUAACAUUAUACUUUCAUGAAAAAUGGAAAAAUACAAAAACAUCAAGAAAAAGAAGAAAACUCAACCACUAAAGCCAAUCCAUUACCUCUCUCCAUGGUACGAUAUAAACCAAACCAAAACCAGAAACCAACCAAACCGGAAAUCAAAGAUCAGCAAAACCAAACACUUUCCAGUUUCCACAGCUAACGUUAUUCACUGUACAAAUCUAACAAAGCUUUACUCAGCCUUCACAAAACCAUCACUCUUUUGAAGUCGAAUCCGUCUGAGACACCCCACUACCCUGACGAUCUGAGUAAGGUCUAACAAACGAUCUCCUCCACCAAACCUCAAAAGCUCUCUGCAGAUUCGGACAACCAUCUCCACCAUUCAAGAAGCUCCCAAGCCAAGACAUCAAAAUCCUCUGCUGAUCUUCC